AGUAUAUCGUAUGGAAUUUCCCAUCAACAUUUUAAAAACAUGUCACCAUCUUGAUAUGGGACUUCUCUCAUUCCUAGCAUGUACUGAAUUCUAAGUUGGGCAUAUUUUGAGAGACUAUAAUAUUACAUUUAUACAUCUGUAGCCCAUAUUCCUUAUUAUGGCAUUUGUUUUACAGUAAGGGCAAGGAAAAGAGAAUGGCAUUCAAUUGUUUGAAAAGGAAUUAUGGCCUAUAUUUGUUUCAAGUCCUGAUUUAGGGAUGGGACGCUGACGAAAGCUGAGCUCCGCCCCCUCCUAGGCUUUAGCAGCAGAACAGAAAUACUACUAACGAGCUUUUCUUCUCACCUUUUCUGUGUUUAUAUGUGACCUGGGCUUCAUUGACCUUCUCCCAUGUCAGCAUGGAGACAAAUUUAGUGCUCCAGUUUCCGGAGAGACCAAAUAGCCUGACAACACUGAAACCAGGGUGAGAAUAUUUACACUUUUAAGAUACGGAUACUCGAAUUACAGCUCUGGUCCUCCAGAAAUAUCAAAGUAAGCAUUCAACAUGUAGAGACAAGAUCAUCUUGCAAAAGUAGAUAUUUCUUUCUAUGGGGGUUUUGAUAGACUGGAAUGUGGCUGGCAUGCCAGAAGUGCCUGGCUGGCAUAGAAUGGCAAUCAUGUUGUAGCUGUAUUGACAUGUCUGUUCAUUCCAACACUGAGGCGUCUGCCACGUCACCAUUGGCCUGCAAAUCUUUUUCCACCCUCUACUGGGUGGAAAUCAUGCACCCUCAAGGAUCACAGAGUUUUAAAUAACCAGCUAUACUGUGCAUGGGGAAUUUACAUACAGUAACAACCAUGCAACACUUUAUCUCAUUUUAGACAUUAGUUUCAAGGGUCAGUUUCUUUCAUCCAUCAUCUAUAUCACUUAUCCUACACAGACUCACAGGGAUUCCUGGAUCUUAUCCCAACGCUGACCCAAUCACAUAAAUUCACACACUGCAGGCAAUUUGGAAAUGCCACUCAGAAUUAGAGGAAACCCCCAAAUUCUCGCCCAACCUUGGAGGUGUGAGACAAGUGUGCCAUCCAUUCAAAACAUGUAAUGAGUUUUGUGUUUCUGUCAAUAUAACCAGUGGUGCACAGUAACAAAAUAAAUGUCAUUUGUUGCUAUACUUAAGUAGCUUUUUCGCAUAUCUGUACUUCACUGUAAUUUCCAUUUAGAGAGACUUUUAUUUUACCUUCACUACAUUUCAAAGUCAAAUGAUUGUUUCCAGCUUUAUAAAAACUCUACAGUAGCCAUUUUCUUCCAGUCAAGCUUUGGACAGUGUUGCACAUUCUUUGUUCUCUAGUCUCCAUUAUUUUGUGUUACAAAUCCUGCUACAUUUAUUGUUUAUUUCUGUCCAUGUCUGUUUCCUGGGUAUCUCUAGUUUACAUAAAAUAGGUUUGGUCUGUCUCUAGUUCCUGUUUGGCGAUGCUCACUAUCUAUGCAAUUCUGUUCAUACCACCUGGCUUGAAGGCCAGGUAUAGUGUUUUUGGUGAGUAAUAAUCUUGUUUUUGCAUCAAAGAUAUGAUGCAAACAUUAAUAUAAUGCAUUGGUCACAGGGUUUGUUUUGAUUCGAUAAGUAGGAUUGGAUGUUUGUCAUCUGGGGGAGUGGUAGUUCAUUGGUUAGGGCUCUGGGUUGCUGAUUGGAGGAUCUGUUGUUCAAGCUCUGGUAUCGCCCUUGAACAAGACCCUUAACCCUCUGUGCCCCAUGGGCGCUGUAUCAUGGCUGACAUACCGCUCUAACUCUGGGUUUAAAACCAGGUGGGAUAUGCGAAGAAAAUAAUUUUGCUGUGUUGUAAUGUAUAUGUGCCAAAUAAAGGCUCUAGUUUAGCCACCCUAUCCCAUAACAGAAUUUGUGAAGAAUACAAGAGAUUGCUGUAACAUUCAAGGAGUGACAAGUACUUGCCAGAUAUUCCUGCAGCAUGUUUAAGGUUGUUGUUGGUCUCUUGGCAGCCUUCCUGUUACCUUUCCAUCUUGUUUUUUCAAUUUCUGGGAAACUCUUAGUAAUGUCACUGUAGUGUCUAAUUUUAUCCUUAAUUGUUGUUGUGCAUUCAAGGUGAUCCAUGGUGCCAAUCAUUCUUUGAAACUUCUUUUGUGCCUCUCUAUUUGUACCUUUUGUCCAUAGCUUUAGUAAGCAGAUGAAACCAUUAAGGUGAUAGAGUUUUUUCAUAUCACUUCAUUUAAGCAAUAUUGUGUAGUCACUUUGAACCAUGUGUGUGAUUGUGAACAACAGUGUAUACAACCUUUGGCAACCAGGAUAAUGUAUUUUUGUUGUUUUAGUUUUUUCCCCACCAUCAAUAUUUAUUUAGUUUUUUAAUCCGAAUUAUAUCAGUUGCUGUAUAUGUAGCAUCCUCACCACCUGAUGAGGGGAGAUAUGAAUGAUGCUGCUUCACCAUCAGAAUCUCUGUAUUUUCUGAGCAGCGCAAUCAAGCAAUCAGUGUAUCUUUCAAGGAAGAACAGGGAACACUGACCCUCACAGAUAAGACACUAUACAGUGCAUUCGAAGAGUACAUUCACUUGUUUUAAGUUCAGUGUUACUCUGAUAUAAUUUAUUUAUUUGUUAUUUUUUAUUGCCUACGUUUAUUUAUUUAUUAAUUUUUGGAACCAGCACACUUUCCCCGUCAAAAUAAAUGUCAGCCCGACAUUACUCUCCCUUUUCUCAACCCAACUACAAUAUAUAAUUUCUCCUGACAAUACCUUGUGAUUUCAAUGCCCUCCUGUCGGUAUGAAUUCUCCCAUUACAGGUAGUCGUCGACUUACGAGCACGAUUGGGACCGACAGACUGGUCGUAACACGAUUUGGUCAUACGUAGAGAAGGCUAUAUGUACAGUACUGUGAAAUGAUCCUGAAAGCUGGUAUGCACUGUCGUAACACGAUUUGGUCAGCUAGCGAUUUUGGUUGGCUAGCAAUUGUGGUCGUAAAGUCGAAUGGUCGUAAGUUGCAUAGGUCGUAAGUCGACGACUGCCUGUACUUGUGUAAUGCAUGUCAUGAAUAGAGGCAUAUGUUGGAAACUACGUAGUCUUCCUUCUUUGAGCUUCAUUCUUUUUUCUCCAUUACUUCAGUCACUUUAAUAGAUGUACGAGUAUGCUGGCUCAGACUGUUGCACUAGGUAAGUCUGUGGAGUUAAAUUCUGCAUGUCAUAUGGCAUGGAUUGAAACGCUAUUGGUUUGUAUGCCCUAUAACAUGCCAGAGUAUCCAGACAAUCAUAAGUAAAUGUCUUUGGUGGUCUCCUUUCUCUCUUAGGCCAUCUGUAUUCCUGAUCUGUCUCCCUGUCAUUCUCAACCGGUGUUACCAGUACAUCUUAAAUGUCAUCAGGUCUCCCUCCAGGUUGUUCAUUUUCCAUCACACCAACUGCCUGUUGAGGCAUUUCCUUAUUUUUUAUUUGAACUCCUUUUCCACAAUCCUUUUCUGCCUCUUCGCAAAUUUUUUGAGUUUCCUCUUCAGGUUCACUGGACCGGAUAGCUGUAUCUUCACUUACUAAUCCUCUGUUUCCUUCUGCAGGUUUAGACACUGGACCUCAGGUACACUUUUCUCUCCCAGCUCAAUGCCUUCUUGCCCAGGUUGCUGGGGCUAAUCUGCAGGUUGGUAACGAUAGUAAGGAUAAGCUUCCUCCUCUUCCUCUUCUGGGACUCAUUCACAUCUACCUACUGGUUUUGUCUUUUCACUGGUCUUUCUUUUUUCUUCCUUCUUCACCGAGGUCAAAUCACUAAUGGUAAACUCCUCUGUAAGCUGACUGAAUGGUCGCUUCGACACAGUCAGAUAGUAAUUCCUCUGUGCAUUCUUUCAUCACUGUCUCAAUAUCCAAAGGCAUUCUUGAUAGGCUGUCUUUGUCCACAUCUUCUUUGCUGUGUUGUAUUUGAUAUUAAAACGAAAAUCCUCCAGUUCUGCCACCCAUCUUUAGCUUUGCACUGGUUAAGGUGUAAGUGAGAGGGUUAUUGUCACUGUACACAGUAAACGUAGGAGCAUAGUACAAACAUUCCCCAUGUUUUUCCAUGACAGCCCACUUCAGGGUAAGAAACUCCAAUUUCCAUGAGUGGGGACUGUCAGUGCCGGGGAGCCAUAAGCAGUAACUCUAAGCUUUUCACCUUGCUUCCUAUAGAUAGAACUUUCCCCAAAACCCUGAAAGGAUGCGUUCGUAUGAAGUACUAAUGGAUGUGAAAAGUCUGGGAACACAAGUCAGGUGGCUUAACCAAACAGUCUAUCAGCCCCUCCAAUAUCUCCUGGGGCUUGUCCGUCCACACAAUCGGUCUAUGAGAAGGUACUCACUUUUUCCUUUAUCCUGUCAGUUUCUUGUCUACUUACAUUAUUUCUUUCUUGUCUCAGUGUCUUUCAGCAGACCAUACAAUGGACUCGCAAUUUUAGAGAAAUCCCUACAUCCCUAUAUACUGUCGAUAGUAGCUCAACAGGCCCAUGACUGUUCUUAACUGUCCCACUUGGUUUGGUCUUUUAUCUUUCAGGUUUCUCACGGCAUAUGUAUCAGCUGGAUCCAUCUUACUACCUUCCAAAAGACAAUCCUCCCAAGGACUUUCCCUACAUCAUCCACAUGAUCUUCAAAGGUUCGACUAAAAACUAACGUGUCAUCUAGGUAAGAAAAGCAGAUGGUAUAUCUUAGCUCGCCAAGACACUGCUCCAUGCAACGCUGGAAAGCUGAGGGUGCGUUCAUCAGGCCAAACAGGUACCCUAAUCCACUUAUAUAACCUCAAAGGGGUCACAAAGGCUGUUAAGGGUCUGCUCUCCUUGGCCAUGUAGCCCUGAUGAUACAACUUCCUUUAUUCAGGAAUAUAAUGUUUGUUUACAGGCAACACAUUGUCAUAGUCUAAGGCUGAAACCUAUGAUACCACACUGUGCAGAGCUGGGUGGGGACAUCAUUGCAUAACUGGUCACUUCUUGUCCCGCAGUCGUGACCCCGUCUGGUUUAACGGCUGCUCUAUGUACAAGCUGGUCCCUGUGCUCUACAGCCAACCAUGAAAUGAUCGCUACUGCUACACUUAUAACAAAGAGACUUCACUGGUCUGUACUGAAUGUACUGAUACUUGAAAAGGUGAGCUUAUCUUUUUGUCCAUGUUCACCUACCUGUCCUGAUAUCUGAAAUUCUCUGCCCAGGGGGACAUGACUGGCCUGUAUGUCACUAACUGCAACUGGGAGCUUGUGUCUGGCUGGACAUUUUGAUUUUGCAAAGUAGCAGGACCUUGUAUAGUGAUUAGGUUCUGUUGUGUACCUGUGGGUUGUGGUGUAUGGUUAACUGCUCUCUGUUUGUGCUCUAUUAAAUUAGAAGCAAGCUAACUGUAGAGUGUCAUUCUCUUCCGGCAGCUUAUCUUGUUCUGUAGUUUCUGCUACUGGUCUGUGCUACGUUUAGUUCUGAAUCACUGUUUUCACUAAUCUUCUGAAUUUAAGGAUUUUGUCUUUUAAAUACAAGAGCUCAGACAUGCCAGCAUCUUCCAAUUCACAUGCAGCCUCUUGCUCUACAUGUCUCACAAUUACAGAAACAAGAAAUGACCGGCUUUUGCUACUGGCAUCUACACACUCGAUCCCUAGAAAGGCGCAUUGUUCAAUCAAAUUUUCUCAUGACAGAGCACAUACUGCUCCUAUCACCUCAAGCUUCAAAUCCUCUACGUGAUCCAUUAGUUACUCAGUCUCUCAAUGUGUGUAAAGUGAUAGAGGAAAUGUCCUUAGCUGGCUGACAACUUGCAGCGCUUCUGGUAUCAAAGAUCAACCUCAGAUUGCUGGUACUUUCCAUUCUGGCUCGACACGGACACUGAACGUCUUCACUCCACUGGUCACCUGGGCUGAGUAGUAGGGUGAAUGGCGGUGGAAGCGGACUUUCAUCACUGGAAGCCAACUCACACUGCAUUCAUCCCAGUGGUGCCUCCAAAAUGUAGCACCCUCACCACCUGAUGAGGUGAGAUGUGAAUGAUUAAUAAAACACAGGACACAGAGCUGCUUCUUCACCAUCUGAGUCUCUGAGUCUAAACAGCGCGUCCUCCUCCCCAAACAGGUGAACACUUCCCAAGGGAGAACAAUCAAGCAAUCAGUGUUCAAUCAUUCAAGGCUGAGCAGAGAACAUUGGUCGUCACAGAUAAGACACUAUACAGUGUCUUCAAAGCAUACAUUCACUUGUUUUAAGUUCAGUGUUACUCUGAUAUAAUUUAUUUAUUCAUCAUUUUUUUUAUUUCCCACAUUUAUUUAUUUAGUAAUUUUUGGAACCACCACAUAUAUUUAGCUUUGAAGUGCUGUCUGCCAGGUUUAGCUGGAUGUGUUGAAUGCUAGUUCAUUUGACACCCGUUAGCUAGCAUACAAAAUAUUAAAUUUUUUCUAGCAACUAGUCUAUCUAACAAAUAAUGACAGCUGUUCCAACAUAAUCUAUUUUAUGGAAGAAUUCCUCUGUCAAAUACAAGAAUUGGAAGAUUUUUCAGCACACGUGCCACAGAGGCAGCAGUGUUUGGGCAGUAAUGUGAGGUGGGCUGGAGUGAAAGAGUUUGCUACCAUAGUUGGAGAACGAGGGGCAGGUGGCUGAGAAGGGCCUGUCGUGAGGAGGAGCUGAGAGGACAGCUGCUUCUGUCAAACAAUGACUUAUUCUUCACUAUUCACCACUCAGCACUGUACUACACAAACUCCUUGAACGUAUACUGUAACAGGGCAUUUAUGUGUGUGUGUGUGUGUGUGUGUGUGUGUGUGUGUG